GUUGAACGCUGGCGGCACGCCUUACACAUGCAAGUCGAACGGCAGCACGGGUGCUUGCACCUGGUGGCGAGUGGCGAACGGGUGAGUAAUAUAUCGGAACGUACCUUAUUGUGGGGGAUAACGCAGCGAAAGCUGUGCUAAUACCGCAUAAUCCCUAAGGGGGAAAGCGGGGGACCGUAAGGCCUCGCGCAAUUAGAGCGGCCGAUACCUGAUUAGCUAGUUGGUGAGGUAAAGGCUCACCAAGGCAACGAUCAGUAGCUGGUCUGAGAGGACGAUCAGCCACACUGGGACUAAGACACGGCCCAGACUCCUACGGGAGGCAGCAGUGGGGAAUUUUGGACAAUGGGGGCAACCCUGAUCCAGCAAUGCCGCGUGAGUGAAGAAGGCCUUCGGGUUGUAAAGCUCUUUUGUCAGGGAAGAAACAGCAGCUCUAACACAGUUUGCGAAUGACGGUACCUGAAGAAUAAGCACCGGCUAACUACGUGCCAGCCGCCGCCGUAA
rnacentral:rRNA from 1 species